AGAAUCAACGCUGGCGGCGUGCCUAACACAUGCAAGUCGCACGAGAAAGGGGCUUCGGCUCUGAGUAAAGUGGCGCACGGGUGAGUAACACGUGACUAAUCUACCCUCGAGUGGGGAAUAACUGAGAGAAAUCUUAGCUAAUACCGCAUAACACUUACGAGUCAAAGCAGCAAUGCGCUUGGGGAGGAGGUCGCGGCCGAUUAGCUAGUUGGCGGGUAAUGGCCCACCAAGGCGAUGAUCGGUA
rnacentral:rRNA from 1 species